rnacentral:lncRNA from 1 species
AAUAUAUCGAAGCCUAGGGAAAACCGUCCGAAAAUUGAAUCAUGAAAAUCAACAUAGUAGAUAAGAAAGUUCUUAUUCUGUGUAUGUGUGACAUACUAUGAAUGCUCAAACAGAAACAGAGAGUCUACUCAUCUCUGUUUGCCUCGAAAAAGCGAGAAACUUGCCUUCCAUAUUGAUAGUGACUAGUGACUGCCGAAACCUGUGUAUAUGACUGCAUUCAUGAGUGUACAUUAUACUGAAGUUUGCAGAGUAUAAUUGCAUACUCGUCGUUAGUCGCGUGUAAGUUUACGUGUCCUAUAAGCCACGUCAAAAUAUUUGAUACAAUGGUGGAAAUCGAGUCUAUGACAAGAUAUGUCUCUCCCAUAAAUCCUGCAAUUUUUCCAUUACUGGCAGUGGUGUUACUAGGAAUUGGAAUAUUCUUUACAGCAUGGUUCUUUGUUUAUGAAGUUACUAGCACAAAAUUUACAAGGGACAUGUUUAAAGAAUUAUUAAUCUCUUUAGUAGCAGCAAUAUUUUCUGGUUUUGGUAUAUUAUUUUUACUCCUUUGGGUUGGAAUUUAUGUAUAGAUUGAUUUGAUUAAUGAGAAAAACUAAUUUUAGGAUUAUGUGUAAUAGCAUUUAAGAAAGUAUAUAAUAAUCUCACAUCAUUAAGAAUAAAAACAAUGUAUUUUUACUAAAUCGUGCAAUGUAGUGAUCAAUCUAUACAUUUAUCACACAGUGAACAAGCAUUUAUAUUUUUUAAUAUGUAUCUAAAAUCACUAUUUGAGGUAUAUGACUUCUUUCCAUAGUUUAAAAAAAGUCAAUUAAGAACUACACACUUUUUACACAUUUUUAAAUACAUUACAUUUUGAAAUAUAAUUUCGUAAAACAAAAA